UACGAAGGGGGCUAGCGUUGCUCGGAAUUACUGGGCGUAAAGCGCACGUAGGCGGCUCUUUAAGUCGGGGGUGAAAUCCUGGAGCUCAACUCCAGAACUGCCUUGAUACUGGAAGACUUGAGUUCGGGAGAGGUGAGUGGAACUGCGAGUGUAGAGGUGAAAUUCGUAGAUAUUCGCAAGAACACCAGUGGCGAAGGCGGCUCACUGGCCCGAUACUGACGCUGAGGCACGAAAGCGUGGGGAAGCAAACAGGGAU
rnacentral:rRNA from 1 species